GAUGAACGCUGGCGGCGUGCCUAAUACAUGCAAGUCGAGCGAACGGACGAGAAGCUUGCUUCUCUGAUGUUAGCGGCGGACGGGUGAGUAACACGUGGAUAACCUACCUAUAAGACUGGGAUAACUUCGGGAAACCGGAGCUAAUACCGGAUAAUAUUUUGAACCGCAUGGUUCAAAAGUGAAAGACGGUCUUGCUGUCACUUAUAGAUGGAUCCGUGCUGCAUUAGCUAGUUGGUAAGGUAACGGCUUACCAAGGCAACGAUGCAUAGCCGACCUGAGAGGGUGAUCGGCCACACUGGAACUGGGACACGGUCCAGACUCCUACGAGAGGCAGCAGUAGGGAAUCUUCCGCAAUGGGCGAAAGCCUGACGGAGCAACGCCGCGUGAGUGAUAAAGGUCUUCGGAUCGUAAAACUCUGUUAUUAGGGAAGAACAUAUGUGUAAGUAACUGUGCACAUCUUGACGGUACCUAAUCAGAAAGCCACGGCUAACUACGUG
rnacentral:rRNA from 1 species